rnacentral:rRNA from 1 species
AUUGAACGCUGGCGGCAUGCCUUACACAUGCAAGUCGAACGGUAACAGGUCUUCGGAUGCUGACGAGUGGCGAACGGGUGAGUAAUACAUCGGAACGUGCCUAGUAGUGGGGGAUAACUACUCGAAAGAGUGGCUAAUACCGCAUGAGAUCUACGGAUGAAAGCAGGGGAUCGCAAGACCUUGUGCUACUAGAGCGGCCGAUGAUAGAUUAGGUAGUUGGUGGGAUAAAAGCUUACCAAGCCGACGAUCUGUAGCUGGUCUGAGAGGACGAUCAGCCACACUGGGACUGAGACACGGCCCAGACUCCUACGGGAGGCAGCAGUGGGGAAUUUUGGACAAUGGGCGAAAGCCUGAUCCAGCAAUGCCGCGUGCAGGAUGAAGGCCUUCGGGUUGUAAACUGCUUUUGUACGGAACGAAAAGCCCCGGGUUAAUACCCUGGGGUCAUGACGGUACCGUAAGAAUAAGCACCGGCUAACUACGUGCCAGCCGCCGCAGUAA